AUGAACUCCUCCUCGGCUCCUGGCCCGGAUGGCCUUCCAGUGACGUUUUUUCAGUCCUUCUGGGAGGUGAUCAAACCCGAGGUGAUGGCCCUAUUUGACGAGUUCAUGGCUGGGACCAUUGACCUCGGCCGGCUGAAUUAUGGGGCAAUCACGCUCAUUCCUAAGGUGCCGGGUGCCUCGGACAUCCGACAAUUCCGGCCGAUUACGGUGAUUAACGUCAUCUUCCGCAUCCUGGCCAAGGGGUACGCCAUUAGGGUGGCCCCUGAUGGGGUCAUGUACCUAGGGUAG
rnacentral:rRNA from 1 species